rnacentral:rRNA from 1 species
AACGAACGUUGGCGGCGUGGAUUAGGCAUGCAAGUCGAGCGAGAACCGUAGCAAUACGGGGACAGCGGCGAAAGGGACAGUAAUGUGUAGGUACCUACCCCGAGGUCUGGGAUAGCUGCGGGAAACUGCAGGUAAUACCGGAUAAUGUCUUCAGACCAAAGGUGUGAUUCCACCUUGGGAGGGGCCCGCAUCCUAUUAGCUUGUUGGCGGGGUAACGGCCCACCAAGGCGACGAUGGGUAGCGGGGGUGAGAGCACGACCCGCGUCAUUGGGACUGAGGCACUGCCCGGACACCCACGGGUGGCUGAAGUCGAGGGUCUUCGGCAAUGGGCGAAAGCCUGACCGAGCGACGCCGCGUGCGGGAUGAAGGCCUUCGGGUUGUAAACCGCUGUCGUAGAGGAGGAAAUGCAGGGGGGUUCUCCCUUCUGUUUGACCUAUUCUAGGAGGAAGGACGGGCUAAGUUCGUGCCAGCCGCCGCGGUAAGAC